UGGGGAAUUUUGGACAAUGGGCGAAAGCCUGAUCCAGCAAUGCCGCGUGUGUGAAGAAGGCCUUCGGGUUGUAAAGCGCUUUUGUCCGGAAAGAAAUCCUUGGCUCUAAUACAGUCGGGGAUGACGGUACCGGAAGAAUAAGCACCGGCUAACUACGUGCCAGCAGCCGCGGUAAUACGUAGGGUGCAAGCGUUAAUCGGAAUUACUGGGCGUAAAGCGUGCGCAGGCGGUUUGCUAAGACCGAUGUGAAAUCCCCGGGCUCAACCUGGGAACUGCAUUGGUGACUGGCAGGCUAGAGUAUGGCAGAGGGGGGUAGAAUUCCACGUGUAGCAGUGAAAUGCGUAGAGAUGUGGAGGAAUACCGAUGGCGAAGGCAGCCCCCUGGGCCAAUACUGACGCUCAUGCACGAAAGCGUGGGGAGCAAACAGGAUUAGAUACCCUGGUAGUCCACGCCCUAAACGAUGUCAACUAGUUGUUGGGGAUUCAUUUCCUUAGUAACGUAGCUAACGCGUGAAGUUGACCGCCUGGGGAGUACGGUCGCAAGAUUAAAACUCAAAUGAAUUGACGGGGUCAUAGCUGUUUCC
rnacentral:rRNA from 1 species